GGCUCGGCGCCGGGCCGGGAGGCGGUGCCUGGACGGGAAGGGCCGGGAGCCGCCGCCUCCAGCCUCCGGUUCGCCGCUGCAACCCUUCCGGGUCGGCAGCCAGGGUGCCGCGGGGCCCGUAGCAGCGCUGCGGCCGUCCCCGAUAUGGAUAACCAGAAGGAUGAAAAAAGCAGGACACUCUGUGCAACCUCACAGGAAGAGCUGAAAGGCCGGGGUAAAGAAAAAAGGAAGCGAAAACGUAGUAGAAGCAGAUCAUCAUCUGUUUCAUCCACAUCAUCUUCUAGUACUGCAUCCUCUUCUUCCUCCUCCUCACGCUCAUCAUCAAGGUCGUCUUCUUCAAGUAGCAGAGAUUCUCCUAAGUCUAAAUCGAAGAAAAG